rnacentral:tRNA from 1 species
GGUCCCGUAGCUCAGCAGGAUAGAGCAGCGGUUUCCUAAACCGAAGGUCAGGGGUUCGACUCCCUUCGGGACCGCCA